rnacentral:rRNA from 1 species
CCUACGGGUGGCAGCAGUGAGGAAUAUUGGUCAAUGGCCGGGAGGUUGAACCAGCCAAGUCGCGUGAGGGAAGACGGCCCUACGGGUUGUAAACCUCUUUUGUCAGGGAGCAAGGUGCAGGUCGGGACCUGCUGUGAGAGUACCUGAAGAAAAAGCAUCGGCUAACUCCGUGCCAGCAGCCGCGGUAAUACGGAGGAUGCGAGCGUUAUCCGGAUUUAUUGGGGUUAAGGGGUGCGCAGGCGGAGGCACAAGUCAGCGGUAAAAUCGCGGGGCUCAACCCCGCUCCGCCGUUGAAACUGUGAGCCUGGAGUGCGCGAAAGGUAGGCGGAAUGCGUGGUGUAGCGGUGAAAUGCAUAGAUAUCACGCAGAACUCCAGUCGCGAAGGCGGCCUGCCGGAGCGCGACUGACGCUCAUGCACGAAAGCGUGGGUAUCGAACAGGAUUAGAUACCCCGGUAGUC